CACACCGCCCGUCACAUCACGAAAAGUGGGUGAUACUAGAAGUCGUUUCGUCAACCCGCAAGGGGGACUGACGCCCAAGGUAUGACUCAUGAUUGGGGUG
rnacentral:rRNA from 1 species